rnacentral:rRNA from 1 species
CAGCCCUUGACAUACCGGUCGCGGACACAGAGAUGUCUCUUUCAGUUCGGCUGGACCGGAUACAGGUGCUGCAUGGCUGCCGUCAGCUCGUGUCGUGAGAUGUUGGGUUAAGUCCCGCAACGAGCGCAACCCUCGCCCUUAGUUGCCAGCAUUUAGUUGGGCACUCUAAGGGGACUGCCGGUGAUAAGCCGAGAGGAAGGUGGGGAUGACGUCAAGUCCUCAUGGCCCUUACGGGCUGGGCUACACACGUGCUACAAUGGUGGUGACAGUGGGCAGCGAGCACGCGAGUGUGAGCUAAUCUCCAAAAGCCAUCUCAGUUCGGAUUGCACUCUGCAACUCGAGUGCAUGAAGUUGGAAUCGCUAGUAAUCGCGGAUCAGCAUGCCGCGGUGAAUACGUUCCC